UAGACAGGGCAAAGUUGCGUCGCGUAGUUCUGCAUCUGAGAGGGGAGAGAAAGAGAGAGAGCAUGGGAUCCUGUAUGUAAUGCCUGGUCUGGAGUCCGAACUGGUGGUAGUCUGUAGCGUCGAUUGAUCUUGAAUCACUUCUGUAGCGUCGAUUGAUCUUGAAUCACUGCUGAAUUGAAGCUGGAAACUUGAUCGUGUAGCCAAUUCCAAUCUUUUCCGUGUCAAUUUUGCGAAAUUUUGCCGGUUCUUGCCUUGAUCCCCUUGUUCGUCUGUACAUUUGUUCCCACAAUUUCACCUGGUUAGGUGUUCUUGGGGGCGAUUUGGCAAUAACUUGGUUCAGUGAGGUG
rnacentral:lncRNA from 1 species